UGCACUCACUACUGUAAGUCGCUCUGGAUGGUAGCGUCUGCUAAAUGACUAAAA
rfam:Salmo salar isolate Sally breed double haploid chromosome ssa12, whole genome shotgun sequence.